GACGAACGCUGGCGGCGUGCCUAAUACAUGCAAGUCGAACGGUUUAGUUCCAAGAGGCUUGCCUUUUGGAACUAGACAGUGGCGGACGGGUGAGUAACACGUAGGCAACCUACCUGUCAAACCGGGAUAACCUCGGGAAACCGAAGCUAAACCCGGAUAAGCUCCUUUUUCGCAUGAAGGGGGAGUGAAAAGGUGCGACCUGAUGACAGAUGGGCCUGCGGCGCAUUAGCUAGUAGGUAGGGUAACGGCCUACCUAGGCGCUGAUGCGUAGCCGACCUGAGAGGGCGUACGGCCACACUGGGACUGCGAUACGGCCCCGACUGGUACGGAGGGGAGCAGAAGGGAAUCUUAGGGGAUGGGCGAAAGCCCGACCGAGCAACGCCGCUGGAGUGAGGAAGGCCUUCGGGUUGUAAAACUCUGUUGUUUGGGAAGAAGGGAAAGGGUAGGACGCUUAGGUGACGGUACCAACAGAGAAAGCCCCGGCUAACUACGUG
rnacentral:rRNA from 1 species